rnacentral:lncRNA from 1 species
UUCCACACAAAUCUUCUUUGGGCGGCAAUCCAUUUCUCUCUCUCUCUCUCUCAAAUUCCCAAGAACCUAGAUCCAGAUUUUCUCUUUCUCUCUGUCUUUCUGUAUUCACCCUUAAAUAAAUGAAGAAGAACAUCGUUCCAUUUGGUGAUGUCGAUUCAAGCCUAAAUCGCCACAAUUUCUGCUCUUACAUCUUUCUCCUUGAUCUAGGGUCCAGACCAUAGACCAUUAAAGGAGGCCGACUAAACUAGGGUUUCGACUACUGAUCUAUUUCUGCACGUAUGUUCUUCAGACAAUCAAGGUUGUUGAGGACUUAUGAGGUGAUUCCAUGUGAUGGUAUGGUAGACAAUCAAGGUAAGGUUCUUUCAUUUUGA